ACAUCUUUGAGAAAUACAUCUAUUUUCAUACAACUGGUUCACAUAACGGAUCCUUUCAGAUAGUCCACAGUGAAGAGACCUUAUUUUGGUACAAGAUUACUACCCUUGAAUAUAAGUACGUGUGGACCUUUUCCUGAUGGAGUGCAGGAGCGUUGUUCAUUACAUUCAGCUGCUCUUGAGACAAAGCUGUCCGUACUUCCUAAAAGCUGUGAUGGAUAUCCAGGAAGGGAUUUCGGUAGUACUGAGGUGUCUCCUCUUUCCUCCAG
rnacentral:lncRNA from 1 species